UUAAAUCCUAUUUAUUUUCGUUUCUUUUUAUAACAUAGCGAAUGCAUUGUAAAAAUAAUAUAUAUGUUUAAAGAAACAAUCACAUUUGCCGUUUAUGCAACAGCUGUAUAUUAUGUACAUACGUUGCGCGUCGUAUCUAUAACAUGAAGAAAUCCUCCUGAAAAUGUAUUUAUUUAUCAAUUAACAUUCAGAAGUUUUUAAUUAAAUGUAAUUACUUUUGCAUUUUUUACAUUUCAAUAUAUUGAAUGUCGGACUUAUUCGCUUCUAUUUCCGUUUACACUAAAGUAAAGUUCAUGUCUCAUUAUCUUGAACGAAGUUUUGCUUGAAUAUAAAAUAUAUUUAUAAAAUUAUUGUUUACGAAGUUUUACAUAUUUUCUAUUGAAUCUUAGCACUAAUCAUCUGUGACCGUUACGGCAUUCGAUAUGUUAAUAUUGUAUAAAAUGGCAUAUGUGUACAUUCGUCGUGUGCGCGUGUGUGUGUGCGGGCGCGCGCAUGCGCUUAUAAUUUAUAUACAUGUAUAUGUGUAUAUACAUAUCAGAAUAGGAUAUAAUCUAACAAAAUAAACAAGGUGAGAAAGAAGGUGAGACCUGUUUUUAAAAUUUGCUUAUCAGAGCAAGUUUCUUGCUAAACACAUUAGUAUCGAAUUGAAUUCGCCGAGAAGUCGACGAAAAUAUAUUGUAUAGAUUAGUAUCGCAUAAAGUGUUACAAGAAAGAGAGAUAUUUGAAGUACUAUAAUUGCAGAGGAUAGAGACUACCCUAGAUACAAUAAACGUACUGCAUGAUACGGAUUAUUAUAGCUUCUAAAGACAGAUAGAAAGUAUUAGUAGCUAAACUAGCACAAGGCAGUACAAGCAGUUCCGUCAAAAA